rnacentral:lncRNA from 1 species
CUGAGAACUUGCAGCAGGAGAAACCAAAAAAGGAGAAGCUUGAAGGAUCCUUGAACUUAUUGGCUGAGGAGUUCAAUAAAGCUGCUGAAACUGAACAAGCUGAAGCAAUUACAACAGUCAACAAGGAGACACCCAUCAAAAGUGAGGAAGAAAGCCUUGAGAAAGAAAUGAAGGUAGACUUAACACCUGUGAGUGAUAAUGCAGUUCUUAAAAAAAGGUUUAAAAUGAUAAAAAAUUUACAUCAUGAUCAGCUCGAAGUUUCCCUUUUUUUUUUUUUUUUAAUUUCCUUUAUUACCGAAAGUAUACAAAAAUGUUAGUUUUCAAAUAUUUUCAGAGGUUUCAAAGAUGUUCCAUUUUUAUUUCAGAAUGUGAGUGAAGUGGAUGAGAAGACAGAAUGUGCAGAAGUUGAGGCCCAAAAUAAAAAUGCCAGUGAUUUACAUGACAUUCCAGUGUUGGACGAGGAGGCAGGAGAAACUGAAGGCAAAGAUUUGGAAAAAGUCAUCAAAACUGAACCUAAAGGAACAAUUCAGGAAGCAAACGAAGCAUACGCAAAAGAAGAGGAGAAGGACAUUGAAGAUGCACCUGAAGCCUGCCAGAGUUCAAAUUCCACAAUCAUUGAGCAGACGCCUCUUGAAGAGGCAGAAUCAGCUGAACUAAUCCUAAAAGCAAGUGAAACAGAUGAAAAGAAACUCCAAGAGGCUUCUGGAUUAGACUUUGACAAAACAUCUGUGAUCGUGGACAAGGGGGAGAACACAGAUCAGGAGACGCAGAAGAUUGGAGAGGCUUGUGAUGCAACAACAGAAGAAAUAUUAGCAAACAGUAAGUGUUUUGGAAAUUUAGCAUUGAAAAGUUAGAUAUAGGAAAAAAAGUAAUUAUUAUAUAAAUUUUGUUAGCACCUUCUAUGUGAAAGGAACAAGAAGGAAUAUAUCAGUAAAUAAUUGAAGAUUCAAAGCCUCAUCAACAUCUUGGCGAGAUGACAAGAUACUCUUAAGUUUUAUAUAUGUCAAAGAGUGUACAAACUGCAAUCUAGAAUGUAUCAACAAAUUACCAGUUUAUGAAAUUAUUGUGAAUUGACGUGUG